CAGUCGCCGCGGGAAUACAGAAGAUGCAAGCGUUAUCCGGAAUGAUUGGGCGUAAAGCGUCUGUAGGUGGCUUUUCAAGUCCACCGUCAAAUCCCAGGGCUCAACCCUGGACAGGCGGUGGAAACUACCAAGCUAGAGUACGGUAGGGGCAGAGGGAAUUUCCGGUGGAGCUGUGAAAUGCGUUGAGAUUGGAAAGAACACCAACGGCGAAAGCACUCUGCUGGGCCGACACUGACACUGAGAGACGAAAGCUAGGGGAGCAAAUGGGAUUAGAUACCCCCGUAGUCCCUGUCUCUUAUAC
rnacentral:rRNA from 1 species